CUUAAUAUAUACGGAGGAGAAAGUUAUUUUAAAGUUCUGCCUUUUCCUGGUCUUCUUUAACUAACACCCCCAUCCCAGUUUUUAGCGCGCCUACACUUUAAAUUUUUGGUUUUCAAGGUCGAACUAAUUUUGUAGUUACCUACUCUCCUGAUAGUGGAUUGGUGCUGAUGCUAUGAAGGGCACACCUCUCCAAUCUCUUUCUCUCCCAGUGAUUGGCUGAUUGGUUCUCAUUGCUGGCAGGUAGAGGCACCAUAUAUACCUGGGUUCUGUUAUGAGCCCUGGCUGUGGUCUCUGUGGCGGAUGCUGCAAAAAUGUAACAAGCCGACUUGUGGUAAUGGUGGCAUUCUAUGACAGUGCCAUGUUUAAAGCCAUCGAGAUCAUCA